GGGCCCGCACAAGCGGUGGAGUAUGUUCUUUAAUUCGAUGCACGCGAAGAACCUUACCACCCCUUGACAUACUCGGAACUUUCUAGAGAUAGAUUGGUGCCUUCGGGAACCGAGAUACAGGUGCUGCAUGGCUGUCGUCAGCUCGUGUCGUGAGAUGUUGGGUUAAGUCCCGUAACGAGCGCAACCCUUGUCCUUAUUUGCCAGCGAGUAAAGUCGGGAACUCUAACAAGACUGCCGGUGCAAACCGUGAGGAAGGUGGGGAUGACGUCAAAUCAUCACGGCCCUUACGUCCUGGGCUACACACGUGCUACAAUGGUCGGUACAGAGAGCAGCCACUACGCGAGUAGGAGCG
rnacentral:rRNA from 1 species